AUUCGGGUAGCUUAAGUUUAAAGCUUAGUAUUGAAGAUACUAUGAUGAGUUUAUACUUUCCGGGUA
rnacentral:tRNA from 1 species